rnacentral:tRNA from 1 species
GGCUGUAGCUCAGUGGUAGAGUGCUUGCCUAGCAUGCGUGAGGCACUGGGUUCAAUCCUCAGCACCA